ACCAAAUUACGUGCCAGCAGUCGCGGUAAUACGUAGAAGACUAGUGUUAUUCAUGUUUAAUCGGUUAAAGGGUACCUAGACGGUGAAUCAAGCUUUAGAAUAAAGAAGAAAAGGAACUAAUUCGCUAGAGUUACUUACGAGGGGGUAGUAAAGUACUGCUGGUGUAGAGAUGAAAUUCUGUCAUACCUCUUUUCGAAAGAAAAAUUAUGGCACAGGUAUAGGCGAAGGCAUCCCCUUAUGUGAUAACUGACGUUGAGGGACGAAGGCUUCGUGGAACAAACAGGAUUAGAUACCCUAGUAGUUGAAGCAGAAAAUGAUGAAUGUCAUAGAUUAGACGUCUAAGUUUAUUCUAUAAAUGAAAGUGUAAGCAUUCCACCUCAUGAGUAAUUUGGCAACAUUGGAAUUGAAAUCAUUAGACCGUUUCUGAAACCAGUAGUGAAGUAUGUUGUUUAAUUUGAUAAUACGCAAAAAACCUUACCACAAUUUGAAUAUUUAUAUUGUUUAUUGUUAUCUUAUUAAUUUUCUUAAAAAAACUAAUUAUAGCAAAAGCAUUUUAAAACAGGAAAAGAAAAUUAAUCAAGAGGCAAUAACAUAUAUCUACAAGCGUUGCACGGCUGUCUUCAGUUAAUGUCGCGAGACUUUGGUUAGUUCCAUUAAAUUAACGUAAACCCUUAGCUUUAUUUUUUAUAUACGAGUAGUUGCCCCGCUAUAUUGGAUAUGGUAUCAGGGGCCCCG
rnacentral:rRNA from 1 species